GGAAUCUUCCACAAUGGACGCAAGUCUGAUGGAGCAACGCCGCGUGUAUGAAGAAGGUCUUCGGAUCGUAAAAUACUGUUGUCAGAGAAGAACACGUGAUAGAGUAACUGCUAUGACGCUGACGGUAUCUGACCAGCAAGUCACGGCUAACUACGUGCCAGCAGCCGCGGUAAUACGUAGGUGGCAAGCGUUGUCCGGAAUUAUUGGGCGUAAAGCGCAUGUAGGCGGUAAUUUAAGUCUGUCGUGAAACUGCGGGGCUCAGCCCCGUAUGGCGAUGGAAACUGGGUUACUUGAGUGCAGGAGAGGAAAGGGGAACUCCCAGUGUAGCGGUGAAAUGCGUAGAUAUUGGGAAGAACACCGGUGGCGAAGGCGCCUUUCUGGACUGUGUCUGACGCUGAGAUGCGAAAGCCAGGGUAGCGAACG
rnacentral:rRNA from 1 species